CGACCAUUCGCUCCACAUCCUUUGGUCUACGUGAUCUCACGAUCCCUUAGGUGCAAAGCCUAUCCUUUCCUCAACUUUUGAGUGUCGAUUCUAGGAGGAUCAUAUCAUGUUUGAAUCAAAUGUAAACCUAUAAUUAGAAUUCAAAAUUUAACAUAUUUAGAGACCUUAUCAAGACUAACCAUGAGAUAUCUAAGACGAACCAACAUAGAAUUUACGGAACGCAAUAUACAUGUUAUAACAGUGAAUUAGAAGCAUGUGUAAAGAACCAAACACAUGCAUACAAUUGUAAUCAUAAAGCAAUCAUAAAGAACCAACCACACGAACAGUUGUAUACAUCAAACCAGAAUCAAGGGUAAAGAAGUUUUUGGACCAAAUAAUCUAUACACUCAGACAUCAAAACACACAUUCAAACUAUAAAACCAGCAUGCAUCUUUCUACAUCAGAUUUAUCAUCCAUGCAACAACAUCUUAUCGGAUCACAAAACACAUUGAUAAAAUUAAUAGUUCCUAAUUGACUAUUCAAUAUACAACAGAGACAAUAAUAAAAGGCUGAUCAAAAAGUCAUACCAAGCAGUAUCAUGCCUCAGCUUGGGAGAGAAUACAGUGGUAAACUGAUCACGGCUUGGCACCAUAAGCAAGCGUUUAGAGCCCUAAGCAAGUCGUCAUGGAUUUCCGGCAAAACUGGUUCAGCAUCGUCGUGAAAAUUGUUCCGUUGAGCAGAUGGAUAUGACAGACAUUGAGACUAACUGUGAGACUGAACCUGCAUUGACUAACCCUGCGACUGACCCUACGAUUAUUAAAGUGGAGGUUCCUACUGUCGAGGCUGAGAUUGAUCUGGAGUGGAUUCCGUGCAUUAUUCUUGACUUCCUGUAAAGAUUGAGCCGCAUGGUCUUCACGUUAACGUUUACCGAGUUCUGGAAAAGCCUAUGUGGCGGUGGAUAGUUCCAAACACACGCUGGUCUUGACGUUGACAGUUGGGGGAAACGUGGAAUGCAUAUGGAGUCGUCUUAGGCAGAGGAAUCUGGACCGCCGACGUGAAGUCGUAUUGAGGAGGUAGAGGGCUACUUCUCCUCACCUAAGUCGCCUGUUUGCCUCCUCCAGGUCUCUGAGAGACAUUUGGAACCGUUUAUCUCUUCCGUCCCCAACGUUUAUGAAGAUUUGUUAAAUUAGGGUUUGAAAAAGGAAGGCGUAGAGAGAAUAAGAACUGGAUUGAUUCGAAAAGAGAUGAGGGAGAAGAAGAACUGAAUCUAUUUGGAUUCAGAAAAGGAAGAAGAAGAUCGGAUUGAUGAAUCAAUUCGAUCGAAGAACAAGAUUAGAGAGAAUUAGGGUUAGGGUUUGGGAUUGAAACGAUGAAAACGAAAUGAUUCAUCGUUUCAGUCGAUGGUUACGG
rnacentral:lncRNA from 1 species